rnacentral:rRNA from 1 species
AGUGAACGCUGGCGGUAGGCCUAACACAUGCAAGUCGAACGGCAGCACAGUAAGAGCUUGCUCUUACGGGUGGCGAGUGGCGGACGGGUGAGGAAUACAUCGGAAUCUACUUUUUCGUGGGGGAUAACGUAGGGAAACUUACGCUAAUACCGCAUACGACCUACGGGUGAAAGCAGGGGAUCUUCGGACCUUGCGCGAUUGAAUGAGCCGAUGUCGGAUUAGCUAGUUGGCGGGGUAAAGGCCCACCAAGGUGACGAUCCGUAGCUGGUCUGAGAGGAGGAUCAGCCACACUGGAACUGAGACACGGUCCAGACUCCUACGGGAGGCAGCAGUGGGGAAUAUUGGACAAUGGGCGCAAGCCUGAUCCAGCCAUACCGCGUGGGUGAAGAAGGCCUUCGGGUUGUAAAGCCCUUUUGUUGGGAAAGAAAAGCAGCAGGUUAAUACCCCGCUGUUCUGACGGUACCCAAAGAAUAAGCACCGGCUAACUUCGUG